AUCAAAGCAAAGACGAGGACAAGUAAUUUUAUGCAAGGCGAACCACAGAGAGCCGGAGCUGCUGAGAACCGGUGUUGGCCCCAUAAAAUGAACUCACCUCGGAGCGCCGGUUUGAACGAUACUUUCCAGUAGAACCGGUCGGGUGCCUGCCACCCGUUACCAAAACGGACGAUUCACACAGUCCAGGAGCGCACGCGGGUAUCCGCGUGAAUGAGGGUGGUACCGUGGAACAGGCAUUCAUAGCCUUUUUCAUCCCUUUG
rnacentral:ncRNA from 1 species